UCCUGAAAAUUUUCCCUUGUGAAUUCAAAUGAACUGGGAAACUAGAACAACGGAUUAACUUUGGUCUUUCAAAGUCUCUUCCAAAGGAUCUGAAGAGAUUCCUUUCUGCUGUACCAACACCAUGGUGUUUCCUGCCCCCCACCCCCAAUCAUGGCCCUUUAUCAUCGCCCAGCCUCUAAGGUUCUGCACUUUCAUACACCCUGCCCUUUGGCUUGGCCCUUCAAUCAACAAGUCCUGCAUACCUGAUUGAUCUAGACCUGAAUAUCAUAUCAUAAAAGAUCUCCUGGGCAUUUACUGCUUUCCUUGGAACUUCUAAUUUCAUUCCAAGAUGUUUGUGUCCUUUGGGGUGUUGAUGUUUGUUUUGUCUUUGACACAGUGUCUCUCUAAGCAGCCCAGGUGAGCCUUGCGCUUCUAAUCAUUCUGUCGUUUUCCCUCAUGUGCAUGGAUUACAGGCAUGUCCGACUCUAUGAAGCUUGUCUAUGUGAUUUUAUGUUCAUGUCUGUGUACAUGCACAUAUGUUCCUGUGGGUGAUGUUGCAUCUGUAUGUGCAUGCAUACGGAGGCCAGAAGACAAUCUCAGGUAUCAGUCCUUAGGAUCGAUCCACCAUUAGUUGAUUGACUAUUCUGAAAGAGUGUCCUUGACAGGCCUGAGGCUAGUAGGUUAGGCUGGCGGGCCAGCAAAGCCCAGGUAUCUGCCUGACUAGGAUGGGAAUUACAAGUGUGUGCCACUGUGCCCAGCUCUUUCUUUUUCUUUUUCUUUUUCUUUUUUAGCAUGGGUUGAGCAGAUCAAACUCAGCUCCUCAUGGUUGCAAGGCAAACACUUUACUAGUUGAGCAGUUUCCCCAGGGUCUAAUUCAACUGAUUUAAAGGAAUAAAAUAAGUGGGAUUUUGUGUGUCUCCAUGGGUGCUAUUAGGAAGUACCUUAUAGUAAAACUAUCAAAGUAGAAUUCAAAGAACAUUACAGAGAACAGUGAGUUUCUACUAUUAAAAGUUUUAAAGAACUUCACAAACAUUUUAUACCUAUAUAGAGCACCAAUCAUAAUAUAUGCAUUCAUAAACCAGGCUUUGGCUGCUAAGCACCUGUCACCUAAAACAUUAUAGAUGCUCAACAAAUAUUCAGAAAAUGCUAAGAGCAUUCAUAAGCAUAUCAAUAUAUCUUACUCAGUUCUCACUUAAUAAAAAUGACUUAUAAUCAGAUUGCCUCAAUGGGAGAAAAAAAUAAUCUGUUGCAGCAGAGGAACAAGUAUCUGUCCAAAGAAACCCCACAGUGUCUGUCUUUAAAUACCAAAGUAGCAUUACUGCAGGUAUAUACCAUUGUACUAGAAAUUAGCAUUUUUUAAAAAAUAUACAAACUAGCCAAGAAAGAUAGACCAAUAGGGAAAAGUGCUUUUCAGAAAGCCUGAUAAUCUGACUUUGACUCACAGAGCCCACUGUAGAAGAAGAAAAUUAAGUCUCUAAAGUUGCACAUAUGCUGUAGCAUAUGCACACAUAUAUUUAUACAUCAUGUGCAUACAUACAUAGUAACAAUAAAUACAACAUUUUUAAUUUAAAAAUGUAUACAGCAUGUUGUCAAUUUAGCCAAGUAUAUUGAAAGUAUCUUGAAAUAAAGGCCAGUUACAAUUUUUUACUUGUUUAAAUGUGUACAUUGGUCUCAGACAGUGACACAUAGCAAGAAGAUAUUUAAUAAAAGAGUAUUCCAUCAGAUUAAUUCACAUGAAUCAAAACUCAGUUUUCAUGCCCUAAGUGUAGCAAACAGGUUUCUCAACUGUUGAGGAAAUAUCAGAUUCUCCUUUCUGUUUUAUCUAUUUUACUUCCUCUGCCAAGUUUCAUAAGACUUGAGAAAAUGAAAUAAAAGAAUCUCAG
ensembl:lincRNA Gm13219 predicted gene 13219